AAAGUACUCCCUCCGUCUGGAAAUACUUGUCGGAGAAAUGCAGAAAAAUGAAUGUAUCUAGAACUAAAAUACAUCUAGAUACAUCCAUUUCUCCGACGAGUAUUUCCGGAAGGAGGGAGUAGUUC
rfam:Triticum aestivum genome assembly, contig: Triticum_aestivum_CS42_TGACv1_scaffold_031525_1BL